UGGGGAAUUUUGGACAAUGGGCGCAAGCCUGAUCCAGCCAUGCCGCGUGAGUGAAGAAGGCCUUCGGGUUGUAAAGCUCUUUCAGUUGGGAAGAAACGAUUGCAACUAAUAAUUGUAAUUAAUGACGGUACCGACAGAAGAAGCACCGGCUAACUACGUGCCAGCAGCCGCGGUAAUACGUAGGGUGCGAGCGUUAAUCGGAAUUACUGGGCGUAAAGGGUGCGCAGGCGGUUUUGUAAGUCAGAUGUGAAAUCCCCGGGCUUAACCUGGGAAUGGCGUUUGAAACUGCAAGGCUAGAGUGUAGCAGGAGGGGAGUGGAAUUCCGCGUGUAGCAGUGAAAUGCGUAGAUAUGCGGAGGAACACCGAUGGCGAAGGCAGCUCCCUGGGCUAACACUGACGCUC
rnacentral:rRNA from 1 species